rnacentral:rRNA from 1 species
UACGGAGGGUGCAAGCGUUGUCCGGAUUUAUUGGGUUUAAAGGGUGCGUAGGCGGCCCGUUAAGUCAGUGGUGAAAGCCUCCAGCUCAACUGGAGAACUGCCAUUGAUACUGGUUGACUUGAGUACAGACGAGGUAGGCGGAAUUGACGGUGUAGCGGUGAAAUGCAUAGAUAUCGUCAAGAACACCGAUAGCGAAGGCAGCUUACUAGACUGUAACUGACGCUGAGGCACGAAAGUGUGGGGAUCAAACAGG